ensembl:lncRNA
UCUGAGGUCCAUAUUAGAAAAGCUGCUAAAAUCAUAAAACUUUGCAGAAUUGUAAUAAAUGAUGAAUAUGAAUUACUUGUCUGUGAUAGUGUAUUAAUUUCUAGGGGAAAAAAAAAAUGUUGACCAAGGUGGAAUUGAACCCGUGAUCUUUAGGCUGCCGACCGGCGUCAUUACCAACUGUGCCACUGGGAAACAGAGCAGCGGUUUGGAAAACGGGGAGAUGAACUGUCAGAUUUAGAUCGCGAUGAGAGGCGUAAAACGCCGAUUUUUGGAGUUACAAAACGUCAUGUAACUCCAAAACUAGGUGGGAUAGAAGCACAAUUCUUGUACUGGGUGAAUCAGCAGACUUUGCUGAACUUUCAC